rnacentral:rRNA from 1 species
UACGAAGGGGGCUAGCGUUGUUCGGAAUUACUGGGCGUAAAGCGCACGUGGGCGGAUCGAUCAGUCAGGGGUGAAAUCCCAGGGCUCAACCCUGGAACUGCCUUUGAUACUGUCGAUCUGGAGUAUGGAAGAGGUGAGUGGAAUUCCGAGUGUAGAGGUGAAAAUUCGUAGAUAUUCGGAGGAACACCAGUGGCGAGGGCGGCUCACUGGUCCAUUACUGACGCUGAGGUGCGAAAGCGUGGGGAGCAAACAGG